GAUGAACGCUGGCGGCGUGCUUAACACAUGCAAGUCGAACGGACAAGCAGAGCUUGCUCUGUGUACCAGUGGCGCACGGGGGUGUAACACGUGAGCAAACUGCCCCUUACCCUGCGUUAUGCCCUGGAAACAGCGUCUAAAACUGGAGAUAAGCUGCGACCGCAUGGACUGUUGCUGGAAAGAUUUUUCGGAUUGGGAUGGGCUCACGGCCUAUCUGCUUGUUGGUGAGGUUACGGCUCACCAAGGCGUCGACGGGACGCCGGCCUGAGAGGGUGACCGGCCACAGUGGGACUGGGGCACGGCCCAGAGUCCUACGGGGGGCAGCAGUGGGGGACAUUGCGCGAUGGGCGGAGGCCGGAUGCAGCAACGCCGCGUCGGGGAUGACGGUUUUCGGGUUGUAAACCGCUUUUGGCAGGAAAGAAGCGACAGUGACGGUACCUGCAGAGAAAGCGCCGGCUAACUACGUG
rnacentral:rRNA from 1 species